rnacentral:rRNA from 1 species
AGUGAACGCUGGCGGUAGGCCUAACACAUGCAAGUCGAACGGCAGCACAGUAAGAGCUUGCUCUUACGGGUGGCGAGUGGCGGACGGGUGAGGAAUACAUCGGAAUCUACUUUUUCGUGGGGGAUAACGUAGGGAAACUUACGCUAAUACCGCAUACGACCUACGGGUGAAAGCAGGGGAUCUUCGGACCUUGCGCGAUUGAAUGAGCCGAUGUCGGAUUAGCUAGUUGGCGGGGUAAAGGCCCACCAAGGCGACGAUCCGUAGCUGGUCUGAGAGGAUGAUCAGCCACAAUGGAACUGAGAACAGGUCCAGACUCCUACGGGAGGCAGCAGUGGGGAAUAUUGGAACAUGGGCGCAAGCCUGAUCCAGCCAUACCGCGUGGGUGAAGAAGGCCUUCGGGUUGUAAAGCCCUUUUGUUGGGAAAGAAAAGCAGCAGGUUAAUACCCCGCUGUUCUGACGGUACCCAAAGAAUAAGCACCGGCUAACUUCGUG